GGCUGUUUAAAAACCCAGAAGACAAGUUGGGAAGGAGAUUUAAUAAGGAAGGAAAUGGUCUGUGUUUUGUUUUCCUGGAGCAGCUGCUGUUUAUGAAAUUGAGGCACACAGUGUGACAUCACAGAGGACCUGAGCUGGAGCCCUCCCCGUGGCAGGGCAGGAGUGGCCAGGUGCAGGUGUCCCCUCCUGCCCCCAUGCACGGCCAGCCUCGCUUUGUCCCAGGAUCUGUCACAACAAACUGCACCUGCAGAUGUGGAAAGGCAGCAAAAGAACCAAGAAAAAGUGUCCCCAGUAUAAAUUCAUCAGCAAGGUGGAUGGGCUGCUAAAGGAGGGAGCAUCUCCAUGGGGGUACGGAAUCAGAGAAGCUGAAGCCAGAAUCCCCAGGAAGAGGAAAGAGAAGGUGAGCUGGCUGGUUGUCUGCAGGUUGAGUGGAAGUGAGGCAGCCCCUCCAGGAGCACAGUGCCAGUCUGGCACCCAGGGUCCAGCUGGCAUUCCUGGGCUGAGUCUGGAGUGUGUGGAGCUCCCUGGCACUCCCAGGAACUGCUGGGAUGUGCUGGGGGCUCCCUGCACCCAGGUAUGGCUUGGAUUUAUCAGAGGUUUUCUUCUGAUCUUGGGUUUUGCCCCAACCUUGCUGUUCCCAGUUUUUAAACCCAGGGAGUCCUCGUGUGAGCAGGAUAUGUGCAGAUCUCUGCUGGGGAAGGUGACUCUGGGGACUGGCCCAGCCAUGGCACGGCUCAUGGAGAUCUCUGCACCGUGCUGCUCUUUCCCCACACUAUCUGCUGCUGGUUUUUGCAGGUAUCUCAGCUCUCAGCUGAGUGAUGCCUCUCUCUGCCAGCAGAAAUCAUGUGUAGACCCAGAGCCCUAGGAAGCAGCAUGUGGAAUUAAUUAUUUAGUAGCUUAAUACAUGGAUUUUUUCAGGUCUUUGGUUGCAUAGUUAUCAAAUAAAUCAGCUUUAUUUUCAUGAUGGAAAUGUGAGUAGAAGUAAUGUCUAGCCAUUUUUAAGAGAGCUUUCAAAUGCUAAGAUUAGUGUGACUAAUAAAAUACAUUUCAUUAAACAAUUUUUCCACACAUAAACCUAUUUUGUAAAUGCAAUAAUCUGAUAUUCUCAUAUGUUAGUCUGCAGGUCACAAAAGAGUAUGGGAAAGUCAUAAAAUAAUUCAAGACUUAUAAACUUGGCUUUUGGUUUGCUAGUAAAUCAGGGUUUUCUCUUAAAGGAAAAAAAAGAUCAAUUGAAAGAAAUAUGAUUUAAAAAUUAAUACCAGUAUUACCAAGCCAUAAAGAUUUGAUUACUUGGAGCAUUCCCUUUGUGAAGAUGAGUUGGUCUGUCCUUCUAAUCUCCUCUAAAGCAGUGUAGGCUGCAGUUAUUUAUAGGGAUCAUAUAGAAUUUGUAAAACAAAACAUUUCUUUGCCAGCCUCCUACAAAUGGGUUCAGAUUCCCAAAGGUUACAAGUACAGCAACAAAGACAGAAAUGUGACAUUCCAGUAUUUGAUCUCUGGUUACUGAUGCAGUGAUGAAGACUGGGAUGUGCUCUAAACAUAGUGGGUGUUUUAACACUAAAAAUGGCCAAUUUGCUCUGCAGAGUGGGGAGAGGUCAGUGAGGUUCUGACAGCUCCUGCCCAAACACCAGGCACUAAAGGGAUUUUUCCCCUAAAAUCUCUUCUCUCCCAGAAAGCCUUGCAGCCCUGCUGCCUUACCCUGUUCCUCCUCCUGAUUUUGGCCCUAACUCCCUCAAAGCACUGUAGCCACUUAAAGCAUUUGAAGGGAUUCCCAGCUUUGAGCAGUUAAUGGCAGUGAAGUCCUGGAUGGUGCCCCAAAGGCUGCCCUGGGACCAAUCUGCCUGAGCACCUCAGUGAGCUGGAGGCUAAAAAGGAAUCUCAUUUCUGAGCCCAGCUGCCCAUCCAAGGGUAACUCUGGAGAUUGAGUAUCUCAGUGUCCCAGCACAGAGGGGGGAAACAUAAACCAAGAUCACGUAGCUGGGCACACAAAUAGAAACGAGGGAAUUGUUGUUCUCGUGGAUUGUUCUUCAGCAGCAAAGCAGUAGCUGCGUUUUGCCACAGAUCAUUCUGAGUGUUUUCUUAAGCCUUGUGUCCUCUCCUUGUUCUUGUAUUUUGAAACUGUCCCUCUGCUUUUUUUUUUUUUUGGGCUGUUGGACUGAGGUCUGUUGUAGAAUUGAUGCCUGCAGUUCAUUCCUCAGCUCCCAACAGAAGAUGUGUUGUUUAAAAUGAUGUCUAUACUGUUACUGUCUUCUUUGCUGCAGUUAGAGCUUUGAUCUCCUCCCAGUCCAGCUGUGGACGUGCAGGGCAGCACUCACUGGGGAGCACUACCCAAACUGCUGUGAGCAGCAGUGCCUCGCUGCCCUUGCUUGUGGCAACUGGGCCUGGAAGGAUCCCAAUCCCUGAAGGUCAGAUGGUCUUGUCAGGAAUACAUGAUUCCUGCUGGAAAUUAUUUCCAUGAGAUCAGAUGGAUAGAUAUAAUUAGCAGAACCAAGCCAGAUAGGAUUCUUACAGGAACAGCUGUGCUGCCAACAAAGUUAUUGUAUCAGAGAUUUUUUUUUCCCCAAUAAAUACUUUACACAGAGUCAUAUUUCUUUUCACAACAAACUGGAUCUUAUCCCAAAAGGAUUUGCUUUGUGGCAAAGGCAGACAAAGAAAGUGAAGCUCAUGGUUUAUUCCCGUGUCUCAAAUGUUGUGAUAGGCUGAACGGUGCAUGGCACGAUGAGUGUUACACAGGCUGAGUUUUAUUGUAAGGCUGCUCCCAUUUUGGAGAAGCAGUAACGCAAUGCCCCUCCUGAGGGGUGCAGGGGGAGGGCUGUCCCUCCCAGCUGUGCUGCAGGUGAGAUGCAGGACAUGCUCAGGGAUGAGAGAAGCCUGGGGGGCUCAGAACACAGCAGGUCCCUGCCAUGCUGCAGGAACAGGGGUGCUCCUGAGUGUUGGCUGCAUUUACCACGAGGGCUUCAUGGCUGUAAGGGGACCAUAAAGCAGUUUUCACCCUUGUUUCCCUCCUCUUCAAGAAAUGCAUUUACCAUGAGGGCUUCAUGACUGUAAGGGGACCAUAAAGCAGUUUUCACCCUUGUUUCCCUCCUCUUCAAGAAAUGCACCCCUCUUUAGUCAGACUGCUCUGAAACAGAGGUGCAGUUGGAGGAACGGGCAGAGUAACCUUGAUCCCCCGAGUUCCUGCCUUUUUAGACAAUUGAAUGCUCCUAGCCAGCCCCUGGCACCAGCGAGCCAGGCAGCUGCAGCACAUUCCAAAUAUUGCUCUAUUUAAAGCAUCCCAGGGCUCCCAGAGCAACUGCAGAGGCAAACCUUCACCUGCCAUUGAACGAGCAGAGGGGGAAUGGCAGAACCAGGUAAGAGGCACAAUUACAUGGAGUGUAAUAAUAUACUGAAAUUAACAGAUCUGAGCAAUGCAGUGUGAAUACACCCAGCUACCUGUAUUCUUGUCUGAUUCACUAUAUGUAUUUUACUUUUCAGUUAGAAAGUGUAAUCUCUUUAAAAGCUAAUUCCAUUAACAGCUUGGGUUCCUCCUGCAUUUUUGAAUCCUACCAGUUUUGUUUUCUUUAUGUUUUGUAGUUGUCAUUCCAGGUUAGCUGACACAAUAGGACAGUGUGUAAAAUGAGUUAUAUUUGGCAGCAUUUUUGUUAUACUGUGUGGAGCUGAGCUCCAAGUGUAGUGCCAAGUGAACACACAAUAAUUUGGAUUUUAACUCCACAAAGCUCAAGUGGCAGAGCAAAAUAAAAUUUUAAUAAUGACCUUUCCAUUGUAAGCACGCUUCACUUUCUCCAAGGAGAAAAGGCAGUUUAUAAAAAUGCAUUUUAUAUCUAUUGUAAAUUUUUAUUUAUUUCACUUAAAUUUACAACUGUAGCUGUGGUGCACAGUUACUCAGGUAACACUUGUGCAGGGAGCUUUUUAAUACAUCUUCAUAGCUACAUUCAGAGUUUUUGAAGACUUUUCUCCUGUUUUCUUUGCACCAAUGACUCUGGUAUCUAGGGAGAGUGAAUUUCUGCUAAGGUACAAAAGGACACUGAACACUAUUUAUGUGAGUUUUCAUUGAUAGCCCCAGAAAUUGCCCUGAUACUGGUUUAAAGUGGAGCUCCCCAGUCAGCAGCAUCAGCAGAGCUCUGACAAACCCCGCUGUGCCCCCCAGCAGGACCCAGCCCUGCCUUGGUGAUUCGACCUUCAGAGAAAGUGCAAAAAGAGAAAAUGCCUUCAGAGAAAGUGCAGGGAACCGUGCCAGCAGCUUCACCUGGGGUCACAGCAGUGAAGGUCUCCACAUGAAACAGCUGGGGGGCAGAAGGACAGCCGGGUUCAGGGCAGGGUUUGGUCAUGUGUUUGUGUUUAAUAUUUCCAUGGCAGCACAUGCAGUUCUGUCCCUCUGGCAGGCACACUGUGCAGUGCCUUGGUGGGACAGGUGUGCUGUGCAGAGCUUUAGAAAAACAACGUGGCAAUCCUUGAAUUAGUGAGCAUCCCUCUGAGUCUGCCUGCUUGAUCCGAACCAUGCAAGGCGUUGUGGAUAGUUUUACAUAAUUUAUUAAUCCCCUCAGAACCCUGUAAUUCUGUUAGCUGUGUAAAGAUGUGCUCUAAGAGGUUGUAGUAUACUGGUAAGUAAUAGGGUCUCAAAGGUUGUUAUUCUGCUUUCUGGCAAGGGUGUGCUGCUCGCACACACCGACAGAGGGUCCAUGAAAUUCUGCUCUUGUAUGGAGAGGCAAAGGCAGUCUGUCGUGGUGGAUGCUCCAAGGGUGGGGACACGAGGCUUGACUCUAUUUUUCUCAGAAGGCUGGUUUAUUAUGUUAUAUAUUAUAUUAAAAUACUACAUUAAAACUAUACUAGAAGAACAUAGAAAAAAAGAUCAGAAGGCUACAAAGAACAAGAAUAGAAUAGAAUGCAUAACAAAAUCCUGUGACUGCUCACGGCCUUGGCACAGGGGGCUGUGAUUGGUCACCAAUUGAAAACAAUCCACAUAAACUAAUAGAAAAUGCACCUGUGGCAUCCCACAGCAGCACACAGUUAUUGUUUGCAUUUCUGUCCUGAGGCUCUCAGCUCCCAGGACGGGAAAAAUCCUAGCAGAGGGUUUUUCAUAAAAUAUCACAGCUACAGCAGCCCUGCUUCCCGUGUGCUCUGCAGAGAACCUGGGCCCCUCUGAGCG